AGAGUUUGAUCAUGGCUCAGAACGAACGUUGGCGGCGUGGAUUAGGCAUGCAAGUCGAACGAAUCCCACCUGGGUAACUGGGUGGGGGAAGUGGCGAAAGGGGCAGUAAUGCGUGGGUAACCUGCCCGGGGGACGGGGAUAGCCCUCCUAACGGAGGGGUAAUACCCGGCGACGUAGCGGAGGGGCAUCUCUCUGCUACCAAAGGAGUUUCGCCCCCGGAGGGGCUCACGUGGUAUUAGCUAGACGGCGGGGUAACGGCCCACCGUGGCUGAGAUGCCUAGCAGGUGUGAGAGCACGACCUGCGCCACUGGCACUGGGACACUGGCCAGACUCCUACGGGAGGCUGCAGUCGAGGAUCUUCGGCAAUGGGCGCAAGCCUGACCGAGCGACGCCGCGUGUGCGACGAAGGCCUUCGGGUUGUAAAGCACUGUCGAGGGGAAGAAAAGCCGCAAGGCCUGAUCGACCCCUGGAGGAAGCACGGGCUAAGUUCGUGCCAGCAGCCGCGGUAAGACGAACCGUGCGAACGUUGUUCGGAUUCACUGGGCUUAAAGGGCGCGUAGGCGGGCCGUCAAGUCAGGGGUGAAAGCCCCCAGCUCAACUGGGGAAGUGCCUCUGAGACUGACGGUCUCGAGGGGGAUAGGGGCAUGCGGAACUCUCGGUGGAGCGGUGAAAUGCGUAGAUAUCGGGAGGAACGCCGGUGGCGAAAGCGGCAUGCUGGAUCCCUUCUGACGCUGAGGCGCGAAAGCCAGGGGAGCGAACGGGAUUAGAUACCCCCGUAGUCC
rnacentral:rRNA from 1 species